CGAGAUGAUGAAGCUCGAAGAUUAAGAGCUGCUGCCAAAGCCCAGGGUGAUAACGCGAAGAAAGUGCGGACACGUGAACUGGCUGCUAGGGGAAUGCCUGCCCCAGAAGCCAAUGCAGAACUUCAAUCUAACAUUGAUAAACGGCGGCUGAUUACUUAUGCAAAUGCAAAGAGCAAAAGUGAAAAGUUUCCUCCACCUCACCAGGAUGGGGCACUUGGCUAUCCUUUAGGAUCAUCUCAGCAUAUUGAUCCUGCAUUGGUCCCUGCUGAUGUAUCUUAUAGCUCUAGUUCAUUCACCUAUUCAAAAGAGCCAGUGCAAACUUGGUCAGGUCCGUUGGUUGACCCAGCUGGGCUUGGUGCUCCAAGGCGAAAGAAGAAUGUCACAGUUGAUACGCGGGAAUCAUCAAAAACAUCAGCAGGGACCCAUAAAGAUAAAACUGGCGAUACUCGGUUUAAGGGAAAGAAAAGCAUGGCUUAAACUUUUAGGACAUACAUGCAAUGGGAAACCAGAUUUGUGAAACUGGCGAUUGCCUAUACAGC
rnacentral:misc_RNA from 1 species